rnacentral:rRNA from 1 species
GCAAUGGGCGAAAGCCUGACGGAGCAAUACCGCGUGAGGGAGGAAGGCUCUUGGGUUGUAAACCUCUUUUCUCAGGGAAGAAAAAAAUGACGGUACCUGAGGAAUAAGCAUCGGCUAACUCCGUGCCAGCAGCCGCGGUAAUACGGAGGAUGCAAGCGUUAUCCGGAAUGAUUGGGCGUAAAGGGUCCGCAGGUGGCUAUGUAAGUCUGCUGUUAAAGAAUGAGGCUUAACCUCAUCAGAGCAGUGGAAACUACACAGCUAGAGUGCGUUCGGGGUAGAGGGAAUUCCUGGUGUAGCGGUGAAAUGCGUAGAUAUCAGGAAGAACACCAGUGGCGAAAGCGCUCUACUAGGCCGCAACUGACACUGAGGGACGAAAGCUAGGGGAGCGAAAGGGAUUAGAUA